rnacentral:lncRNA from 1 species
GAAUACCUGUUCUUGCAUAACCUGUGACUGCACCAGAUAUUCUGAGAAAGCAGCAAGAAGCAAAAGCUGGAAAUAGCUAUUUCACAGCAGGGCUCUGAAACUACCUUGUAUAA